rnacentral:rRNA from 1 species
AUCACCUGAUGCCUUAGUACGGCGAGUGAGCGGCAAAAGCUCAAAUUUGAAAUCUGGCACCUUCGGUGUCCGAGUUGUAAUUUGAAGAAGGUAACUUUGGAGUUGGCUCUUGUCUAUGUUCCUUGGAACAGGACGUCACAGAGGGUGAGAAUCCCGUGCGAUGAGAUGCCCAAUUCUAUGUAAAGUGCUUUCGAAGAGUCGAGUUGUUUGGGAAUGCAGCUCUAAGUGGGUGGUAAAUUCCAUCUAAAGCUAAAUAUUGGCGAGAGACCGAUAGCGAACAAGUACAGUGAUGGAAAGAUGAAAAGAACUUUGAAAAGAGAGUGAAAAAGUACGUGAAAUUGUUGAAAGGGAAGGGCUUGAGAUCAGACUUGGUAUUUUGCGAUCCUUUCCUUCUUGGUUGGGUUCCUCGCAGCUUACUGGGCCAGCAUCGGUUUGGAUGGUAGGAUAAUGACUAAGGAAUGUGGCUCUACUUCGGUGGAGUGUUAUAGCCUUGGUUGAUACUGCCUGUCUAGACCGAGGACUGCGUCUUUGACUAGGAUGCUGGCAUAAUGAUCUUAAGCCACCCGUCUUGAAACACGGACCA